UUUGGAUGCGUUCUUACCACUGGCCUGUAGGUGACAUGAUCCAAGUACAGAGCAGUGGCAAGAACGCAUCCAAA
ensembl:miRNA